AUGGAUGAGGAUUUCAAUGUUGAAUAUUUUAAUCAAGUACCGAUUGUUUUACAAAUAGCUGUUGAUCAAUUAAGUGAUGAGGAUUUCAAUGUUGAAUAUUUUAAUCAAGUACCGAAUGCUUUACAAAUAGCUGUUGAUCAAUUAAGUGAAAUUCCAAUCUCCAUUCCAAUAAAUUUACAUUUUACAGAGCAAAAUGAAAACGUCCUAGAACUUGACACCUUACAACUCAUAAAUGAUGCCCUCGAAAACCUUAAUGCAGUUAAUGCAGUAGAGUUUGAAAAUCAUUCUCCUUCAUCAGCUCUCCACACGCAAAGUGAUCAUGUCUUACACGCGGUAACAAUCAGAUCAGAGACGGAUUCAGCCGAGACACAAUCGGCUCUUCCUAACCCCCCUCCUGAACAGGAUGAGAGGCCAGGAGAAGGGGGGUCAGAGAGCAGCCCCUCAGCCCAUCUUUCUCCUCAGCAAGGGGGAGGAGGGCUAGGAGAAAAUCCAUCCGAUCUCUCUCCUGAGCGGGGUGAGAGGUUUUUUAAUGAUUUUAUCACAUGGAGAACAAGACGCUCCUUUAACAUUCCCACUCGGGGAAAUGUGCCUGACAUUGCAACAUUCUAUCGAGAUGUAACAGGGGUUAUCAGCGAAUUGGUGGAUGUUGCCAGACGACAUAGUAGUCGCAACGAUUUAAUACAGUUGGAGGUGGUGGGUGAAAACGUACACAAUCAUGUUACAGUUGCUGUGGAUGAACAAGGUGAAAAUAUUCUACCGGCUUUUAAUGGAAUGCUAGAUCGGAUUGUGCAGUCAAACGGUAUCAUUUCAUCGGAUGAGAAUAUAGAAUUCAUCCUUCACGUGGUGCAGAACCCAGGAGGAGGUGCCAAACGUAAGAUGGAGAAAACUCUAGACUGUGAAAUCAUUGACAAAAAAAGACGUCACUUAUUUAUCGUAGACAACAGAGACAACCAGCUUUGCUUCGCCAUCAGUCUAGCUCACGUUAUCUACCCGAAACUUACUGAAAGAGAAUGCCUUGAUAUUGCGAGGAAGUUGCAGCAUCAGGCUGGUUUAAAUGAUGAGACCCCCGUCACUUUCAGUGACAUUGGUAAAUUUGAAAAUAUUCUGGGGCGUAAAAUUGUUGUGUUUUACAGAACAUGCCACAGUAAACCCCUCUCACAUUAUGAGACAAAAUUCUCUGAUCGUUCCAAUCAGUUGUUUCUCUUUUUACUACAAAAUCACUAUUAUGGGAUAAAAAAUCUCAAAGCCUUCCUGGGGUCGUCAGUCUGUAAUUAUUGUUACAAGACUUUUAAGCACCCCUAUACCCACUUUUGUAAAGGUUACUGCGCAGUGUGCAACGAUCCUGCCUGCCCCACAGAAGGGUUCAACACAGUGGUUUGCUCUGACUGUAACAGAACGUGUCGCUCACCCUCUUGUUUCACCAGACACAAAUUGGUCGGUUCAAGCAGAAAGUCCAGCCUCUGCGACCAAAUCAAAAAAUGCGCACGAUGCGAACUAUACUACAGUGUCAAUUUGUCGUUAGACGAUGCAAAGCAUCGCUGUGCGGUGAAAAAAUGUAAAAUCUGUGGUGAAAAACUGCAGAGCGACUCUAAAGUCGAUCAUAGUUGUUACAUUCCUACCCUCCAACCAGACAUCUCACAUCCUGAUUUGGUUUUUUAUGAUUUUGAAACAUUUGUGGGUCAAAAUGGAGAGCAUGUUCCUUUUUUAGUGCAUACAAAAACAUCCAAAGGUGAAGAGAAGGCGUUUUAUGGUCUUGACUGUGCUAAAAUGUUUAUUUUGCAUUUCAGGAAGCCACGAUACAAACAGAACAUCUUUAUAGCCCAUAAUGCCAAGGGGUUUGACAGUUAUCUGGUGUUAAAAGGUAUGUUGGAACUGGAUGUGACGCCACAACAGAUUCUGAUGAACGGGAGUAAAAUCCUCAGUUUUGAGGAAUCCCAUUAUGGUCUCAAAUUCAUAGAUUCCCUGUCAUUUCUCCCCAUGCGUCUCAGCGCUAUGCCCAAAGCCUUAGGAUUCACUGACAAGACCAAGGGGUAUUUCCCACACAAAUUUAGCUCAGAAAUUCACCUCAAUUACGUGGGGCCCUAUCCCGUUCCGUCCGACUACGACGUAGAUCGCAUGACGGUGCGCGAACGGGAAGAAUUUGACCCGUGGUACAACGAGGUCAGCCGAGGUACCUUUGACUUCAAAAAGGAGGCCUCGCUGUACUGCAAAAAUGAUGUUGACAUUCUCACCCAGGGCAGUCUUAAAUUUAGAGAUCAGUUCCUAGGUGAGACGGGGGUAGACCCUUUUGGUUCUAUCACCAUAGCCGGAGCCUGUAUGAAGGUGUUUCGCACCAAUUAUCUGACUCCUAACACUCUGGCUAUCCCCUGCCCUCACAACUAUUUGAAUCAGAGCAAAAGAUUCUCUAGCGCAUCGGUUCAAUGGUUAGAAUGGUUGAUGCACAAAGAAAAAAUCUUUAUACAGCAUGCUCUAAACAUGGGUGAAAAACAGAUUGGUGCAUUUUUCGUAGACGGAUAUGCUGAGAUUGACGGUGUAAAACAUGUCUGGGAAUUUCAUGGAUGUUUUUACCACGGCUGUCCCAGUUGCUUUGAUCCCACAGUACAGUGCGAUAUGAGAGGCGUCACCUUUGGUGAACUGCACUACAAAAGUGAGAAGAGGGUGAGUGAGCUACAGACCACACAUGGGGUUCGUGUUGUAGUCAUGAGAGAACACACGUGGAACCAGAUGAAAACAACAUGCACGGAGGUUAAAGAAUUUCUCCGUUGCUUUAACGCUCCUCAGCCUCUCAACCCCCGAAAAGCACUUUUCGGAGGUAGAACGAGCGCUUUAAAACUGCGACACACGGCAGCGCCCGAUGAAACCAUCCACUAUGUUGAUGUCACCUCACUGUACCCGUUUGUCAACAGUACUUGCUCUUACCCCUUUGGUCACCCCGUGAUCAUCUACAAAGAUUUCGAGGACCCACGCAGCUACUACGGCUUCAUCAGAGCCACUGUGUAUCCUCCUCGAGGUCUUUUAUUCCCCGUGUUACCGCACAAAAGUGAGGGAGGUAAAUUACUCUUUACACUGUGUCGCACCUGUGCCGAAACUAACAAUGAGGGUGGCCCCUGCGAACACGACGAUGAGGGCAGAGCUCUGACGGGGGUCUGGGUCACCGUUGAAUUCAUCAAAGCUCUGGAUGUGGGGUACAGGGUGGGUAAAAUUACAGAAGUCUGGCACUUUGACAAGAGCAGCGACACUGUGUUUACCGACUACAUACACACCUUUUUGAAAGGAAAGCAGGAAGCCUCGGGUUACCCCGCUGAGGCGACGGACCGAGAGAGCAGGGAAAAAUACAUCAGGGACUAUCAGGAGCAUCAGGGCAUUCUUUUAGAUGCUGGCAAAAUCGAGACCAAUCCUGUGAAAAGACAGGUUGCUAAAUUGUGUCUCAACAGUUUGUGGGGAAAGUUUGCACAGAGAGAUAAUUUGUUUAAAACCACCAUUGUCUCAGAUCCUAAAGAAUUCUUUAGUUACAUGUUUUCAGGUAAAUACAAAGUCGAAUACUUUUCCGUUCUCCACAGCAACAGAGCUCUCAUCAGGUGGAAAUACACCGACAGGUACGUUCAACCCCCAGGUAAACAGAGUAAUGUUUUUAUUGCAGCAUUCACCACAGCACACGCACGACUGAAGCUGUACAGUUAUCUGGAAAAACUACAAGACAGAGUGUUUUACAUCGACACAGAUAGUUUAAUCUAUCUGGUCAAAGAGGGUGAGAAACCUCUAGAGCUGGGUAACUAUUUAGGUGACCUGACGGAUGAACUGGAUGGUGACAGCAUUCAAGAGUUUGCAGCGGCGGGUCCCAAGAGUUACGCGUACCAAACACGAAAUAAAAAGAAAGUCGUCAUGCGUGUGAAAGGUAUCACUCAGACCCGGGAAUUUUGUGAGCGUGUGAGCUUUGACAGUGUCAGAGAGCUGGUGGAGGGUUACCUGAGUAAUAAACAAGAGGGAAACACGAUCGAGAUCCGUCAACACAGCAUCAGACGUGAUAAAAAGUGUUUCGCAUUGAGAAAUGUGUCAUUUGAUAAAAAAUUUAGGGUGGUGUAUGACAAAAGAUGA
rnacentral:lncRNA from 1 species